rnacentral:snRNA from 1 species
GUGCUUGCUUCAGCAGCACAUACACUAAGAUUUUAACACUAUAGAGAAGAUUAGCAUGGCCUCUGUGCAAGGAUGACACACAAAUUCGUGAAGUAUUCCAUAUUUUU